rnacentral:pre_miRNA from 1 species
GGACGCAGUUUUACGCACUUACAUAAAUAAAGUGUUGUGCGUGGGACAGCGAUCGA